AUCUUCUUAGUAUAGUUAUUACAAGUGACUUCCACUCACCAAACCCCAAAAGAUCUGCAUUGGGAGAGGAUA
rnacentral:tRNA from 1 species